CCAGGCAUGACAACAGCCGAUGUUUCUUGAGUGUUUCCCGGGAAACAAACACAAUACACACAAACGCAAAAUUACACACACACACACACACUUC